rnacentral:rRNA from 1 species
GACAGAGGUGCCAAGCGUUAGGCGGAAUCACUGGGCUUAAAGCGUGUGUAGGCGGGUCGUUAAGUACCUUGUGAAAUCCCCCGGCUCAACCGGGGAACGGCUGGGUAUACUGGCGAUCUUGAGCCACCUAGGGGCAGUCGGAACAAGUGGUGGAGCGGUGAAAUGCGUAGAUAUCACUUGGAACGCAAUGGUGAAAACAGACUGCUGGGGGUGUGCUGACGCUGAGACACGAAAGCCAGGGGAGCAAACGGG